GCCAGGCGCGGUGGCUCACGUCUGUAAUCCCAGCACUUUGGGAGGCUGAGGUGGGAGGAUUGCUUGAGCCCAGGAGUUCAGGGUUAUAGUGAGCUAUGAUUGUGCCACUGCUCUCCAGCCUGGGCGACAGAGCAGGACCCUGUCUCUA
rnacentral:SRP_RNA from 1 species